rnacentral:rRNA from 1 species
UACGAAGGGGGCUAGCGUUGUUCGGAAUCACUGGGCGUAAAGGGCGCGUAGGCGGCCGUUCAAGUCGGGGGUGAAAGCCUGUGGCUCAACCACAGAAUUGCCUCGAUACUGGACGGCUCGAGACCGGAAGAGGUCAGUGGAACUGCGAGUGUAGAGGUGAAAUUCGUAGAUAUUCGCAAGAACACCAGUGGCGAAGGCGGCUGACUGGUCCGGUUCUGACGCUGAGGUGCGAAAGCGUGGGGAGCAAACAGG